rnacentral:ribozyme from 13 species
AAAAUGAAGAAGGAGGCAAAGAGAGAAGAAAAGAUGACAAUGGGUUGUCACUUUCCUCUUCUUUCCCUUCUUCUUCUCCCUCUUCUCUCCCUCCUACUCCCU